UAUAAACAGAUGGAGUUGGAUACCAACAUGCUAUAACAGUGUUCAUGGUUUUAUACAGAUAAAAUCACUGCCUUUAAGAGAUUCGCUGUGUAAGAACAGAGCAAACAUGAAACCAUUGAGAAAAAAAAAAUAGUUUUAAAAAGGAAAAGGAUCUGAAUGGACUUUUUUCAAAAGAACAUAAUACAAAUCAUCAAUGAGCACAUAAAAACAUAAUCAGCAUCAUUAACCAUCAAGAAAAUGCAAAUAAAAAUGCCAGUAUGGUACCAUUCAUACCCACUAAGAGUGCUAAAAUAAAAUUGAUAAUGAAUGCUUGUGCAGAUGUGAAGAAAUCACAACCCUCAUGGACUGAUGGUGAGAUGAAAAGUGAUAUAGUCACUUUGGAAAACAAUCUGGCUCAUUGUUUUUAAACAAUCUGGCUCAUUGUUUUUUAAAAAAGGUUUUAAAAAUGGAGUUACCAUAUAACUCAGCAGUUCCAUUCCAAGAUACAGACCCAAGAAAAAUGAAAAUUGUCGUCAUUAAAAUUUGUACAUGAAUGUUUAUAGCAUCAGUUUUUCCAUAGCAAAAAAAUAGAAUUAACCCAAAUAUCCAUCACCUGAUAAAGGAUGAACAAGAAGUAAUGUGUUCAUACAAUGGGACAUUAUUCAGCAAUAAAAAUAAAGUACUGAUACAACUUGGGUGAAUCUUGAAUACAUUAUGCUAACAUAUAGGUGAAAGGAACCGGUCAUUAAAGAACUCAUUGUGUGAUUUUAUUGAUAUGAAAUAUCCAAAACAGGCAAAUCUGUGGAGACAGAAAGUAGAUUAGUGGCAGCCAAGGGCUAGAAUGAAGGGAAAAGGGGAUUGAGUGCUAGGAGGUACAGGGUUUUUUUGGGGGGUAGUGACAUUGUUCUUAUACAUUUUGAUGGUGGUUGUAUCACUACACUAAAACCCAC
rnacentral:lncRNA from 1 species